ACACUCACCUGGCAAGGGAGAGGCCACAAACAUGAUGGUGGUUUGCUCAGGGAAAGCUUGUCCAUUGUACCUGGGCGUACUGACCAUUGCAUUUCCCCCAAAUUUGGGAAACACAACUGCAUAAUUUAUGAUAGCUUGCACCCUCCCCUGACUUACAAA
ensembl:snRNA U1 U1 spliceosomal RNA